GUCUCGACUCCAGCCAGCUUAGUUCUUUGGAGAAGCAGUGUGGAGUCCUAAAAAAGGAGGCUGAGUCUUACCGUUGAGGUCGGUGCCGGUAGAGAAUGGGAGGGAGUCUGCAGGAGCCAAGCACCCUAAAGAAGAGGAAGAGAGCACGUUGCUGAGAUUUGAACAGCGACCUGAGAGGUCAGACUGGACCCAGGCCUCCUCAAGAAGCAACGGAGAUGGAGAUUCUUCCCUUUUCCCGGCCCUUCGGUCCUUCUCCGGAAGAGCUACUCUGGCCAGCUCUGGGCUAGGGGCAGUGGCCGAAGAGAAGGGGAAAGUUUUUAGGUUUUUGCCUGUUGCUCUUAGGGAUCCAGGGGCAGAGUUUUGCCUUAGGUGCUGAAGACAGCUGCUGGAGCCUGUUGCUUUUUCACACCACAGAUACUUCAUGCUGCCUAAUAUUCUACCGAGCCAGCCUAGGGGACUUGGAUCUGUCUCGCCUGGGGCUAAGAGAAUAGUUUCUCUAAGAAGAAAACAGUUCUAAUUCAAAGAUGCUGGAUCUGGCUUCCUUUAAAGCCUGAAGUCGCUGAAGUGGCCAUAGAACUAUGGGGUCCAGAGGACUGCCAGUCUCAGCCAGCCUUUAGGCUGGAGAGAGGCUGUGGGCCUGCUUGGGGACUAAAAUGGAUGAAUAAGAAACCUGUAAGAAAUGUAAACAGAUGGAAUGGCAAGGAGGAGAGCGCUGGAGAUUGUUCAGGAGGAAUUCCACCCGGCUCUGGGGCGUGCGUCCGACAAGCCCCUAGGGGGAGAAAGGAGAAGGGUGAAGGCCGGGCUAGUAGUCGCUGCCCGCUGGGCAGCAUCUGGAGGCCCGUGCGGGAUGCAGGCGAGGGGGAUGGAGCGGCGCCGCUGGAGGAAAUUGGCUUCCCAUGGGACCUGCAACUGUCUGGAAACAAAAAAAGAAGCCUACCAAAAGGGGAAAUUUAAAGGAGAGCAAGAAACCAUGAAGAGAGAGCCGAAAACGCGAAAGUAAAGAGUUGCCCAACUUA
rnacentral:lncRNA from 1 species